GUGGGGAAUAUUGGACAAUGGGCGAAAGCCUGAUCCAGCAAUGCCGCGUGAGUGAUGAAGGCCUUAGGGUUGUAAAGCUCUUUUACCAGGGAUGAUAAUGACAGUACCUGGAGAAUAAGCUCCGGCUAACUCCGUGCCAGCAGCCGCGGUAAUACGGAGGGAGCUAGCGUUGUUCGGAAUUACUGGGCGUAAAGCGCACGUAGGCGGUUACUCAAGUCAGAGGUGAAAGCCCGGGGCUCAACCCCGGAACUGCCUUUGAAACUAGGUAACUGGAAUCUUGGAGAGGUCAGUGGAAUUCCGAGUGUAGAGGUGAAAUGCGUAGAUAUUCGGAAGAACACCAGUGGCGAAGGCGACUGACUGGACAAGUAUUGACGCUGAGGUGCGAAAGCGUGGGGAGCAAACAGGAUUAGAAACCCGUGUAGUCC
rnacentral:rRNA from 1 species